CACUGGUUUUUGAAUAUCCUGCCUGGUUUUUGGAAUAUCUCUUUUACUGAAUCAUCUACCGCUGUGCAUACUGGGAGAGUUACAAAGGAUGUUUCCCAGGGAUGACCAAAAAAAAUCUCAGUGUAACCCCAGCAAUGGACCUACUAGAAUACUGUGAGCUGGAAUGGAAAGGAAUGACACCUCAUGCUGAUCAAAUAAAGAAGGCCUAUGGAGAAAUCUACAGGGUACAUAAUAUCAGGUACAUUUGCAGAGUUCGUGGAGACAACUACUGUGCAUUGAGAGCGACACUGUUUCAGGUGCUCAGCAAUGGCAUACCCUUUCCAUCCUGGAUGAAAGAGCAGGAUAUCACAAAGGUACCUUU